rnacentral:tRNA from 1 species
GCGGGGAUAGCCAAGCCAGGCCAAAGGCGCAGAAAAAUCCGCAGGAAAUGCGUAGGCUUCAGGAGUCUGUCCCGUAGGGGUUCGCGGGUUCAAAUCCCGCUCCCCGCACCA